rnacentral:snoRNA from 1 species
AUUCCCCCAAUUGCUUACCCAUCGGACCUACACUCUGGUUUGAGAGAUACAAGAAGAGGAAAAGUAAAAGGACAACUGACUUGAAUUCUUUUGUGACAUACAAGUUAGUGUCAAACCAAC